UACGAGUGUUUAAUUCUUUUUUUUUUAUCCAUAAUCCGCAUAUAUUUUGACUUUCAUUUGAGAGAAAGAUAGAAAAGUGAAAAGGAUUUCUGCGUAACAGAUAUCUAUUAAAUUAAUUAGUUAAUAAUUGUUUUUGUCCUAUUACACAGAUUAGUCAACAAUUGAGAAAGAUUUGAACUUAUAUCCUUUGCUUACUGAAAAGAUAAGUCGUCUCCUAUGGUGUUUUAGCUGUUAACCUUUCAUCUUGAAGAUUCUUGUGGUUAAUUAAGGAACAUUAGAAGAACUACGGAUACCAUUAAAUUAUGAAAUUAUGGAGCAUUGGUUGUAUUAGUCCUCAUUUGCCCCGGAAAGUAGGUGUGCCCAUGGUUCUAAAGAAAGCAUGAAAGUGCCUUUUUUUCGUUGGGAACGAAGCUGUUAAAUUUUCAUCCUGGAUGCUAUUGUAGUUAAUUAAGUUGAGCAUACAUGCUGUAUUAUAUAUAUGUAGUGUAUUUGUUUGAUUUUAAAAGACAAAAGGGUACGGUGUUACUUUAACAAUUUAUUUAUGCACUCUACUUAGUAGGGGGUCUAAAUUUAUUAUAUUUGAAUACUUUUUCAUAAUAUUAGAUUUUACAGGGAUGUGAGAAGAACUCCAGAUGCCAUUAAAUUGUGGAGCAUUGAUUGUGUCGGUUCUCAUUGACUCCAAAAAGUGACUGUUCCUAUAGUCAUAAAGAAAACAUGAAAGUGCCUUUCCAUUGGGAACGGAGACAAUGUGCUGAAGUGUGCUGCUGAAGGAGGGAUUUAUGACAAUAAACUGAUUGUCCCACAAAUGACGAGAGAUUGCAGUUAAUUUUGAUGUUACUGAAGCAACCGAUUUUUUGAUGUCUUCACUUUGCAACAUUAUGCAGUUAACUUUUACCGUAACGACAGGAGGCAGUUGGAAAUUAAUUAAUUUGGAAGAGACUGGAACAACAGAUUGUUUGCAGUGAUCCCUCCUAGAUUUGGUUUGCUCAUCACACUGAUAGACUUUAGAACGCCACUUUCUACAAUUAAUUAAGGUUAUACAAUAAAUGAG